AUGCAUUUAAACAUUAUCAACCAAACAAGAAUACCUUUUCCAUCUCUAGCAUUUAGAUUUAGACAUCCUUUGUUUAUGGUUGUCUAUUAUCAUACCUCUUUUUUAUUGUUUUUCAGACUAGUAGUUGCUCUAAAUGCUUCUUCCAAUUCUCCAUUUUUACACUAUAAUACAGAUUUUUUUUUGUUGAAACAACCAACUAUUAUAUAG